AGCCUUCUCAAAAUACAAACGGCAUAUUUUGAGGCGAGUGCUGACCUCACCUUGCAAAGCUCUCUGAAGUGUCUGAGUUGAAGACCUGAAAACUGUGACCCCUGUUGCCUAGCAACUGAGAAGCUCAGCCUCAACUCCGGGUGGGGGAGAUGAUGGAGAAAGGUGAACCUAAUGGAGAUGAGUGACAGAAUGGUGAGACUGAUGAUGAUUAUGAUGUGCAGCUUCACUGAGGUCAUGGGCUUGGUUAAUUCCCUUCCAAAGGGAUGGAAGGAGAGAAAGAGAGCAAGAAGGGGUUUUUUUGUUUUGUUUGAAGCUCUUAACAAUUAAUGUUGCUGCUUAGUGUUUGGGUCUGUGCUGCUGUAUGUAUGUGAGCUGUAAUACUCACUGUGAAGGUCUUCAACUUCACUCCUGAAGUCAGUGAGAUCACGAGCCCACCAGAAGGAAGAAACUCCACACACUUCUGAACAGCUGAAGGAACGAACUCCGGACACACCACCUUGUAGAACUGUGACACUCAUGGCUUAAAAAGGAUAUUCUGUCAUGUGUGGCAAGAUGGAUAAACCUGGAGGACAUUACGCUCCAGUGAAACGGGUACUGCAUUUUGAUAAAUUGAAGGUUUGUGGAACGCUGCAUUGAGCAAGUCUAUUGGUACCAUUUUCCAACAGCAUGUGCUCACUUCAUGUCUCUGUGCC
rnacentral:lncRNA from 1 species